CCCCUCUCAGGGUCGCAUCUGGAGAGUUUCCAGUUCUCUACCAGUCUCUGCUGCAGGAGGGAGAUUCAAGCAGAGGACUGUCCAUUCCAUUUUUGGCUUGGCCAGUGGCUAGCGAGUGGAAGGCAAUUUGCUACAAGU